rnacentral:RNase_P_RNA from 1 species
UGAGGCGACUAGGUGGUCGCGGCUUGGCGGCGCGCAGCGCCGUCAGGGUGAGGAACGUCCGGACUCCACAGGGCACGGCGCCGGGUAACACCCGGGCGGGGCGACCCGCGGACAGGGCCACAGAGACAUAGCGCGCGCCUCAAACUCAGCAGACCGAGUUUGAGGUUGGCGUAAGGGUGAAAAGGUGGUGUAAGAGACCACCGGCGUGCCGGGUAACCGGUGCGGCCAGGCAACCCCCGUCGGGAGCAAAGCCGAGCAGAGGUAAGUGUCUGGAGCCUGGCUCCGGACAGGCGCGCGGCCCGCGAGCCCUCCCCUCCUGGGGAGCGAACUUCGGGUAGGCUGCACGAGGCCGGGGGCAACCCCGGUCCUAGACAGAUGACCACCAGGCCGUCACAGCAGUGUGACGGUCGACAGAAUCCGGCGUACCGGUCGCCUCAGGCU